ensembl:lncRNA
GCCGUUUUCUGUGUUUUCCAUUACAAAUAAUGCUAUAAGGAAUAGCCCUGUAUGUAAAUCUGUACACCUACGUGUGAGAACAUUUGUAAGAAAACGCGGAAUUGUUGCAUUAAAUUUUAAUGAAUGUUGUCAAAUUUCCUCAAAUGGCAUUUAUUUGCAUGUGUGUGUGUUCCAAUAACAUUUUAUUUAUGGAAAUUUGAAUUUCAUUUAAUUUUCACACGUCACAAAACAUUCUUUUGAUUUUUCUCCAUCAGUUAAAAUGUAAUAAUCACUCUUAGUUCAGGGGCUGUAUAAAUCAGGUGGUAAACCAGAUUUGGUCUACCAGCCAUAGUUUGCCAAGCUCUGGUUUAGUCUAACUAGUCUAGUUUAAGUUGUAAAAAAAGGGGCUAAGGUUCACCAAUGUUCCCAACUGAAAAGUUUUAUUAAAACACAUGUUUUAGACAUUUUCGAAAUGUUUUGAAAAAACAUUAAGUAAACUUAGUCCACUAAUGCAAGUCACCGAAAAUUUUUUCCUUACUGAUUAGUUUAAAAAACUUUUAUUACAAAAGUCAUCAAUGCAGAUUCUACUCUGACUUUGUAUUAAGUUCAGCCAAAUUUUGUUAUGUGAGAUCAUCCUUUAGGUUAUUUCAGCUUGUGAACCGCCAUACACUACAGCUUUCUGCCUCCACUAAACACUGUGAUGGAGGUGGGAAUGGAGGCCUUGGAGGGAAAGCAGAAGGCAUGGAUUUGGCUUCUGGUCUAUCUGAUUUUGCUUCAAGAUUCAGAGAUGUAUAGGUUUAUCACGCUCUCGCUAAACUGAAUGACUUCAACCCUUGGUGUCCCGUUUCCUUGUUUUUUCAUGUUCCUUGAAGUCUUGCCUUGCUGUCUUCACCCCUGAAGAAGCAGUCACCUCCUCCAUCAAGCGACUGGCUUCAGGAGAGAAACACACACCUUGGGUCACCCUGUGAGGGACUGAGGCGUUCUCAGACCGUUUCUGUGGCCACGUGUGCUCCACACUUCUUGUUCCUUCUUGGGAGGGAAUUCUUAAGGUUGUCUGCCUUCUCUGGAUGCUGCAGAGCCAGGCCGGUGCGGGCAGCCUCCCUUUUGCUUUCUCCAGGUCCCAUUGAAUGCUGAAGUUUGCAUACUUUCUCUCAAUCCCGCUCACUAGCCAUCUGCGAAGACUCACCAACCUUGGGUGGGGGUCGGGUGCGCACCCACAGCACCGGCCAGGGGGUGGGGGUGUGGGGAGUGAGAUGUGUGCAGCACUGGGGUGUCCGUGGGCCGUCUGGGGAGAUCCGCAGGCAAGCUGUCCCCAGCAGCUUGUGGGUGGGCUUCCUGAUGGAGUCCGCAAAGUGGCUGGUAGAAUUGUCCUUUUGAAGCCCUCCGAGUGCCCGGGCUGCCUUCUCCCAGGCCCCUCCACCCCCCCACCGGUCGUGCAGCACACCCGGCGUUCUGGAUGCGGGGAGAGAGAGAAGUGGGCAGGCUGCCCUACAGUUGGGGAAGCCAGACGCUCACGCCCACGCUCUCACCUCCCCCUUGGGGAGAAAUCGCUGGCGAAAGGGGCUCUGUUGGCUCUGGGCUGUGCGCUGGGGGAGGAGUCACAGGAAAAGUGACACUGGUCCUCUUCAUUGCGUCCAAUCUCAGGUUUUGUUUUGCUCCCACAGUGUGCUGGAAGUUCGCGGGUCUCUGGGAUUCCCACAAAGGUGCUCUUAUCCGCGGAUGAUGGUCAACAUCAGUGUUCGUUGGGGUUCAAGAUGAGUCAAGGCUCAAGUAGACUUGAAGUCCUCCAACAGACAAGCCCUAAUGGACACAGACAAGGAAACCACUACCCUAACUUCUGACUUCACAAACUAUUUUUGCCUGUUUUUCAACUUAGGCUGAAGGUUUCAAGACACAUCUCAGGCAGCCCUACAGGAUCAGGCAAAGCAGCUAUGCCCAGCUCCCCGCAGCUCCCUUCCCACACGUGGAGUGUGCACCACACAGAGAAGUUCCUCACUUGCUACAUCAGGAGGCGUGCAGGGGCUCCAUUCACAUCUGAGGCCAGACAGAUGCUAUGCUCCCGGCUGCCAGGAUCCUUGCUGCUGUGUUCACCACUCUUUUCCAGCAUCUACAGCAGUGCCUCAACCAUGGCAGCCAAAGAUAACCCAGAAAGAGCAACAUUCUACUCACUUUGUGGGAGGAGCCCAUGGAUUUCAGCAUCUCGGUGAUGUGGGGACUUUCCAGAUGCAGACACGUAGUGCCCAAGGCAACAACAGCAACAGUACCAUGUUGGUGGCUAGCCUCUGGUGGCCCACCUCUGGACCAACCUACCUCCACACUCAUGGCUGUGGAGUCCACCAGCCUCAAGUGAUGUGUCUAAGUGUUUGCUCUUCUAGCAAAAGGCAAAUGUGACUGGGAUGGUAGUCCAGUGUGAGCGAGCAUCCCUGGGGAUCCUUCGGCAUAUUGGGUUGCAAGUCCCAGCGUGCCUGACUCAGAAGACAUGCAAAAACAUUUGCUGAAUGAAUGAUAAGGGAAACACUCGAUUGCCUGCUAAUUUGGGCAGUUGAGGAUCCAGAGUUGUAUGUAUGCUUGCCAAUGAAAGGGAAAUAUUAUUUUUACCCCAACCUGUGAAUAUUGUUUAUAUCUCUUGUAAGUGUUCCCCAGGUAAAACUCAAAUAUUAGUUCCUUCCUUAUUUAGCCCCAAAAUAUCUAGCAUCAUCUUGGAGUAUGUGCCUCCCGACCGCCCUGGUAUACACAUAUACUCUUUGUUAACUAAGUAUAGUUUCUCCAGAGAAACAGAACCAAUAAGAUAUACGCAGAUAUAUAGAAAGAUAUUUAUUAUGAGAGAUUGGCUCGCGAGAUUAUGGAGUCUGAGAAGUCCCAUGAUCUACCAUUUGCAAGCUGGAGACUCAGGAAAGACGAUGGUGUGGAUCCAGUUCAAACUCAAGAGCACUGACGUCUGAGGGCAGGAGACCAUGGACGUCCCAGCUCACGCAGAGAGAGCAAUUGGCCCUUUCUCUGCCUUUUUGUUCUCGUCAGGCCCUCAGUGAAUGGAAUGAUGCCCACCCUGUUGGUGAGGGCCAUCUUCUACACGUCUCCCGAUUCAAAUGCUAAGCUCUUCUACGAAUACCUUUACAGACACACCCAGAUAUAAUGUUUUACCAG